GCAAGUCGAACGGUAACAUUUCUAGCUUGCUAGAAGAUGACGAGUGGCGGACGGGUGAGUAAUGCUUAGGGAUCUGCCUUUAGGAGGGGGAUAACCAUUGGAAACGAUGGCUAAUACCGCAUAAUGUCUACGGACCAAAGGGGGCUUUCGGGCUCUCACCUAGAGAGGAACCUAAGUGAGAUUAGCUAGUUGGUGAGGUAAAGGCUCACCAAGGCGACGAUCUCUAGCUGUUCUGAGAGGAAGAUC
rnacentral:rRNA from 1 species